GAGCGUUUGUCUUGUUUUUGUUUUGUCACUACUUUCAUCACAUGAUCGUGUGUUGAUGCGGUUGCCGCCUUGCUCUGACGGCAUUUGACAUCGCAUUCGGGCUGGCGACUACAUCAACGAUCCUCCAACAGUCGUGAGUACAGCGCGAAGAAAAUGCUGAAGCCACGGGCGUUGACUCAAGUCCUGUCGCAGGCCAACACGAGCGGCGUGUUGUGCACUCUGCUGCUGAACCGUGAGGGCACCUUGCUUGCUUACUCGGGUUAUGCAGACAAGGAUGCCAAGAUGACUGCAGCCAUUGCCAGCAGCAUUUGGCUGGCCAACGAGAAGAAUGCGCAUGCUGCCAUCAGCGAGGGGCAACUCCGGCUUGUUAUCGUUGAGUGUGAGGAUGGCCAGGUGGCCAUCACCCAGGUUGCCAACCUGCUUCUGUGCCUGCACGCCAAAACCAGCGUGGGACAGGGUCUUCUCCGGGCCAAGGCACGUGCCCUCGUCGAGUACCUUGAGGGUCCCCUGCUCCAGGUUGCAGUGUCAUAGCCGAGAAGAGCCGUCAGUAGCCAUUGCCCAUCAGCAGCGAAAUGGGCCCCCUCGUGUAGAGAACUUUUCACGUUGUGUGACUCUUGGUUGGUUGUCAUGGUGACGAAGGGGAGUGAGUUGUUGUAUUACAGAAUGCAAAUGAAAGAUGAGAACUUUUUCUGGAGGUGAAGUGAUACCUGCGAAAAAAAAACAGGUAUAUCAAUAGCACUGGGCCAUUAGCCGAGCUGGUACAGUCGGCAUGAGGCAUUUUUGCUCAGUGAAAGAAACACACCCUGUCUGCCGUCAGUCUUUUUAAUUUCCCUAUUUGUUUUGUCUCUUUAAUUGCGCUAGAAUGCCCUGUGAUGGCAGGUGUUGUUUUCAAAGAUAUAUCGGAAUUCGUAGUUCAGCAGUGCUAAAAUUGGAUAGAGGGCAGGAAAGAAGCUUCAGAUGGAACAACUUCACGGCUCAUGUACGUUGUCUUCUGCAUCUCAUCUAUUCCGAGGGCUAUUAAAUCUUAAUUUCCACGCCUACAAGACUGUUACUUACACGACAGAUCAGAUUCUUCGAUUCAGACUACAGACAAAUGUUGCCACUAGUAACAGCUCUCAUGCAAGCUGAAUCAACAAUUCCGUUCAUCACGCGCGUCCAUGUUUACCAUCUCCUAGCCAAGCCCUUCUGUUUGAUUUCAGUGCUGAAAUGAUACUUUCCUGAUGCUUUUGCAUAACUUUUCUGUUUUGCCUAAAAUUGUUUCCUUUAUUUUGUGUGUGUGUGCUUGAGCAUGUGCAUUCCUAAAAUGAGCCACAACUAUAUUUUUAACCAUAUCUCACUGAACUUGGAAUAGCUUAUUCUCUCGAUAAUUGGAAUUAAAGUGCGUGGUUCCAAAAAUUUUGACUUGACCUUUGGUUUACCUUAGAUGAUCUGCAUGAUAUUAUGCAGGUCUAGCGACUUUUGCAACUCGCACUGUAGGCUCUAAGUGUAUUGUUGCAAGUGUGGACACAUUGGGAGAGAGAUAAGCAAGAAACGGGAUCAGUACGAAGGACAAAAAUUUGAUGGCUUGUCCCAUUUUUUGAUGUGCAAUGCCAAGAAACGAGAAUAACUUAGAGAUAAUCAAAACCGUGCAAAAUGCUUAUACUGGGAGGGGUGGCUUGCGCCUAUGAAACUUUAAAAAGUCUGAUUGCAGUGCGGCAUGCCAAACAUGACUAGUAAACGUUUGUAAAGGUUAUACAGGUUUAUAAUCACUUAUCCUACAGCAGACGUUCAAAUCACCACCCGAAAAGUCAGACUGCUCUCACUUCAGCAGUAUGCAGUACCUCAUUGUAUGGAAUUCCACGGAAUGUCACGCUUUUCAUUAUUUCUUAUUCUUUUUUUGCUGCAUUGCACAUCAAAGAACGGUGCGGGCCAUUAAAUUUUUAUCCUUCAUUAAUAUUUUGCCGCAAGCCGUAAUAAAGUCGAGUAAUUUAUAACAAAAGUACGGCCCAAUAAAAUAGGUCAGUUCUAAUUGUAGUAAAAGCAUGACCUGAAGUUUAAGCUGGACGUGACAGAAGUAUAGAAGGCGGGUGGAAACACUGGCUUUGCAAUGAUUUACCUUAUUAAGAGCCUAUCAAGGCAUUACUACAUUAGGGUGGCAGUAAAAAUGCAGUGCAUUAAUCAAUACUAUGUUUCAUUAAACAACAUUUAAAUAUAUAUAUGACAUUAGCAAAAACCAGUAUUAGCAUUUCCAAAUGUAUUAGUUAAAACAAUAAUACAGUUGGGAGAUAUUUUAAUGGUAAGAGAGCAUUGAGAUUUAACUGCAAAGUCACGUGAAUUCUGAGGCACAUCUGCAUCAAAACAUUCUAACCUGCCCGAUCACUGUGACGUGCCACUUUCAAGCAAUCUUGUUUUGACACUGCUACUCUUGCAUGGUUUGCGCUUCAUUUGCGCUCGAUAAGUUCAAUGCCGAUCAACCUCACUAACAAUCAGAACUUACGGGGAUGGGCACUUCAUUUUUAAUGGGAUGAUGUGCAGAACAGAGUACGUGUACUACACUCUAGAUUCUUUUUUUUUUUUUGCAUGUGCUGCUGUGUCCACACUUCAGGAAAGUUGUAGCUUAUAGUUUUCCUUUUUUUUCUGAAUAGAUGGGGCUUCUUUAGUGAGGUCCCUGCCUAAACCAAAGAAUCCUCCGUUAAUUUCGACGGCUGGCUCGAGUGUCUCAAUGCGAUAUUCUAGCGACACAGGAGGUUCGAAGGCCCAGUACCUGACAGAUCGAGAGUGCAUACUUGCCAGUGUUUUUGUCCGAACAUAAGACUGCUGCUGGAACGACUGACGUUCCUCGGACCUUGAUACUCAAAAAGAGCAGCCUUAGAAACUACUACUGCCACGGAGAAGCACACUUGGCAGGUUGCGUGCGGUUGCCACUGAGUUUGUACGUACAGGAGUGUUUGUUGUGGACGGCUGUUGCUUUGCACGUUGGGAAUAAAGUUUAUGUUGUCCCGA
rnacentral:misc_RNA from 1 species